GACGAACGCUGGCGGCGUGCUUAACACAUGCAAGUCGAACGGAAAGGCCCUGCUUGCAGGGUACUCGAUUGGCGAACGGGGGAGUAACACGUGGGUGAUCUGCCCUGCACUUCGGGAUAAGCCUUGGUAACUGGGACUAAUACCGGACAGGAGCCAUUUUUAGUGUGAUUGUUGGAAAGUUUGUUUGGUUUAGGAUGAGGUCGCGGCCUAUCAGCUUGUUCGUGCGGUAAUGGCCUACCAAGGCGGCGACGGGUAGCCGGCCUGAGAGGGUGGACGGCCACAGCGGCACUGAGACACGGACCAGACUCCUACGCGAGGGAGAAGUGGGGAAGAUUGCACAAGGGGCGCGAGCGUGAUGCAGCGACGCCGCGUGCGGGAUGACGGUCUUCGGGUUGUAAACUCAUUUCGCUAGGGCCGAAGCUGUUUGUGACGGUACCUAGAUAAGAAGCACCGGCUAACUACGUG
rnacentral:rRNA from 1 species